rnacentral:rRNA from 1 species
UAUGUGUGGAAGAGAUAACCGCUGAAAGCAUCUAAGCGGGAAGCCCCCCUCAAGAUAAAUUCUCCCUUAAGAGCCGUGGAAGACCACCACGUUGAUAGGCUGGAUGUGGAAGCACAGUAAUGUGUGAAGCUGACCAGUACUAAUUACUCGAUCGACUUGAAAUCUCAUCAUGA